rnacentral:lncRNA from 1 species
GGGUCUGGAGGUAAACCCUGCCAAUAGAUGAACUCAGAGAAUGUGUGGGUCUGGAGGUAAACCCUGCCAAUAGAUGAACUCAGAGAGUGUGUGGGUCUGGAGGUAAACCCUGUCAAUAGAUGAACUCAGAGAGUGUGUGGGUCUGGAGGUAAACCCUGCCAAUAGAUGAACUCAGAGAGUGUGUGGGUCUGGAGGUAAACCCUGCCAAUAGAUGAACAGAGAGUGUGUACUCUCUCUACAGAGUGAGGAUCUGUACAGGACCUCUUCUAUAACUGUGUGAUUGUCAGUGAGGAUUAUAUCUUCUUAUUAUUAUUAUAAAUUGGCCAUCCCCUGACCCCACUCACCUGGGUCGUGUUCAUUAGGCACCAAACGGACUGAAAAAGGAAGGGACUAUCUGGAUUUGUCCAGUGCUCAGAAACACUACUUUUCCAUUGCAAAACAUGUUUUUAUGUUUUCUGUUGCAUGUCCUAAUGAACACAACCCUGUUCAGGACAGGAAGGACCAUCAUCCCUACAGCCCCUCCAUAUCCUGGGCCAGCCCAGGGAGAAAGCUGAGUUACAGAGCAG